UCUAAGGAUGAAAGCCCUGGGAGGGCCUGGUGUGUGGCUGGACCACACUGACUCCCUCCUAAGCCCACAGUCGCACCCUCUCCCAGCUCCUGGUGACUGAGUUUCAGCCUCCUCACCAGGAAUGCACCCAAGCCAGCGGAGCUCCCUGUCCCCCUGCACCCUUGUCUCCAUCUGAUAUGAAAACUAGAAGAGUGCCUUUUGCUGGACACAGAUGGUGAAGGGCCAUGAGACACCUGGGUGGCAGAAAACGCCUGGCUGUGGCCGAUGCGGACACGUUUCUCACUCGCUAGUCAAGGUCCCUUCUCCAGCACGGAGCACUUACGUCACAGGGACUUUAGUGAACACCUCGACAGGACGGCUGCACAGAGGAGGGACUUGCUGAGGGCCACGCGUCCCCAUCAGUGGUCUGCUGCUCUUCACGACACCGCCUGCUCCAAGUCACAUUAGGGGAAUCCAGGCACCUGAUGGAGAACAGACAAGCAACAACCCCCUAACUCCUGCCCAAGUUAAGUGCUGAGAAGCCUCACCACUCUCUCCCAGGCAUGGAGCCAGGGGAGAGCCAUGGGGACGGGAGCCGUGACACCUGGAUUCAGCCGGUUCCAUCGCGUGACCUUGGACCAGGAUUUGGGCAGCUAGAGACCCACAGAAGGGCCUGUCUGCACCGAGCUUGUCUCCCGGGGGCCCCGCGUGGUGGUGGAGCCAAGGUU